CCGGUCGGUCAAGUCCUGGGCACCUUUAGGUGAAAUAAAGUGUUUAGGUGUCCUCCAGCGCCAGGAAGUGGAAGUAUUCUCAGAUGGUAUACAAGGUGUUGGACAAAGACGUGAUCCAUAUUCUAGGAAUUUACAGUCUAAUUUGGUAGAUAUGAUAUAUGCGUAAUUAACAUAAGGCGACUGCUAGUGAGUACCAACCUUGUGGAAGAGGAGGCAACAAAGGAGACGAGCGAGAAACAUUAAAAUAAGCCCAGCAGGAGACAAUGCUAUUCAAAAUCAGAAAAUCAGACCUUCUACUGGGAGAAAUAGCCACUUUUCACAGCCCGCCCUCCCCACCUCCCUGUAGAAAUCUGUUUACAUUUGCCUUCACAUCUGCCAAGCUGUAUGGUGCAGAACUCUCUAGAGCCUCAUCCCAAACUUGAAUUUGUCCAACCAACUGGACAAAGACCCUGUACUGAGAAAAAUGUUACCCUUGAUCAGAGGCAACCCUCUACUUAGAGAUGAAUGGCCCUACUAAGAAAGGGGAAAACCCAAGCUACUUAAUUUUCAUAACAGAAUAUUGUCUUUGCUGCUCAAAUAAAUGU